rnacentral:rRNA from 1 species
GACGAACGCUGGCGGCGUGCUUAACACAUGCAAGUCGAACGGAAAGGCCCUGCUUUUGUGGGGUGCUCGAGUGGCGAACGGGUGAGUAACACGUGAGUAACCUGCCCUUGACUUUGGGAUAACUUCAGGAAACUGGGGCUAAUACCGGAUAGGAGCUCCUGCUGCAUGGUGGGGGUUGGAAAGUUUCGGCGGUUGGGGAUGGACUCGCGGCUUAUCAGCUUGUUGGUGGGGUAGUGGCUUACCAAGGCUUUGACGGGUAGCCGGCCUGAGAGGGUGACCGGCCAAAUGGGGACGGAGAUACGGCCCGGACCCCUACGGGGGGAAGAAGUGGGGAAUAUUGAACAUGGGGCGAAGGCUUGAUGCAGCACCGCCGGGUGGGGGAUGACGGCUUUGGGUUUGAAAACCGUUUCCGCCGGUGAGGAGGGGGGAGUGCGGGAAAGGGGAAAAGAGCCCCGGGGAAGCUAGGGC